rnacentral:rRNA from 1 species
AUGGCAGGGUUCUUCAGCACCUGUGCUGCUUCUGAUCACUAUUGUUUGCAGCUCAGAUCUGGAUCAGCUCACCAUGAACUGAUUAGACCAAACAAGUACAGAAGGACCAUGAUCAGGUGCUGCAGCACAGCAAAGGGGAAGACAAGAAGGGACUACUACCAGGUUCUUGGAGUAGCAACUCAUUCCACACCUCAGGAGAUCAAGGAAGCUUACAGGAAACUCCAGAAGCAACACCAUCCUGAUAUUGCUGGCGACAAGGGCCAUGACCAUGCGCUGUUGCUGAAUGAGGCGUAUGAGGUGUUGAUGAGGAGUUCAUCCAGGAAAGCUGAUGGAUUUGGCAAGAGCAGAGGCGGCUUUGGGAGCGGUUACACCGGGGACGGGUACAGUUCUUGGAAUGGGCCUAUCAGGAGCCAGGCUCUCUUCGUGGAUGAGAACAAAUGCAUAGGAUGUAGGGAGUGUGUUCACCAUGCUGGGGAGACAUUUGCCAUGGACGAUGUUCUUGGAAGCGCGCACGUCGAAGUCCAGUUUGGCGACGUGGAGCAGCAGAUCCAGGUGGCUGUGGAGUCUUGCCCUGUGAACUGCAUCCACUGGGUUGGGAGCGAAGAGCUCCCGGUGCUGGAGUUCAUGGCACGUCCACAGCCCAAGGAAGGGCACGGCGUGUUCGGCGGCGGGUGGGAGAGGCCUAAGGACGUGUUCGCGGCGGCCAGGAACUUCUCCAGGAAACUCGAGAAGCAGGAGCGGCAGGAAAGUUCCAGGGGCGCAAACGGGGGUGAAGAUAUGGAGGCUGAAACGGCAGCUCAGGCCGAAGCGAGACGCCACGCGGGGCAGGAGCUCCGGUGGAAGAGUUUGUUCGAUGUUUGGAAUGGGUUGGGAGACUGGAGGAAAUCUGGAACAGACAGGUAG